rnacentral:rRNA from 1 species
AGAGUUUGAUCCUGGCUCAGAACGAACGCUGGCGGCAGGCUUAAUACAUGCAAGUCGAGCGCCCCGCAAGGGGAGCGGCGCACGGGUGCGUAACGCGUGGGAACAUGCCCUUAGGUACGGAACAACGUCGGGAAACUGACGCUAAUACCGUAUAAUAUCUCUGGAUCAAAGAUUUAUCGCCUAAGGAUUGGCCCGCGUUAGAUUAGGUAGUUGGUGGGGUAAUGGCUCACCAAGCCGACGAUCUAUAGGGGGUCUGAGAGGAUGAUCCCCCACACUGGAACUGAGACACGGUCCAGACUCCUACGGGAGGCAGCAGUAAGGAAUAUUGGACAAUGGGCGAAAGCCUGAUCCAGCCAUGCCGCGUGAGUGAUGAAGGCCUUAGGGUUGUAAAGCUCUUUUAGCCGGAAAGAAAUUGCUUCUAUUAAUACUAGGAGUAGAUGACGGUACCGGAAGAAGAAGCACCGGCUAACUACGUGCCAGCAGCCGCGGUAAUACGUAGGGUGCGAGCGUUAAUCGGAAUUACUGGGCGUAAAGCGUGCGCAGGCGGUUUUUUAAGCCAGAUGUGAAAUCCCCGGGCUCAACCUGGGAACUGCAUUUGGAACUGGAAGACUAGAGUGUAGCAGAGGGGGGUAGAAUUCCACGUGUAGCAGUGAAAUGCGUAGAUAUGUGGAGGAAUACCAAUGGCGAAGGCAGCCCCCUGGGUUAACACUGACGCUCAUGCACGAAAGCGUGGGGAGCAAACAGGAUUAGAUAGGGAGCAAACAGGAUUAGAUACCCUGGUAGUCCACGCCCUAAACGAUGUCAGCUGGUUGUUGGGUAUUUACUUACUCAGUAACGAAGCUAACGCGUGAAGUUGACCGCCUGGGGAGUACGGCCGCAAGGUUGAAACUCAAAGGAAUUGACGGG